GGAGGGGUGGCUCAGGGAUUAAGAGCACUGACUGCGCUUCCAGAGGACCUGGGUUCAAUUCCCAGCACCCACA
rfam:Mesocricetus auratus contig110978, whole genome shotgun sequence.